rnacentral:siRNA from 1 species
GACAUGUGUGCGAGUCAACGGGU